rnacentral:misc_RNA from 1 species
GAUGAAGAACGCAGCGAAAUGCGAUAAGUAAUGUGAAUUGCAGAAUUCAGUGAAUCAUCGAAUCUUUGAACGCACAUUGCGCCCGACAGUAUUCUGGCGGGCAUGCCUGUUCGAGCGUCAUUACGCCCCUCAAGUCCCCUGUGGACUUGGUGUUGGGGAUCGGCGAGGCUGGUUUUCCAGCACAGCCGUCCCUUAAAUUAAUUGGCGGUCUCGCCGUGGCCCUCCUCUGCGCAGUAGUAAAACACUCGCAACAGGAGCCCGGCGCGGUCCACUGCCGUAAAACCCCCCAACUUUUUAUAGUUGACCUCGAAUCAGGUAGGACUACCCGCUGAACUUAAGCAUAUCAAUAAGCGGAGGA